rnacentral:rRNA from 1 species
UGACAGCCCCGUACACAAAAAUGCACAUACUGUGAGCUCGAUGAGUAGGGCGGGACACGUGGUAUCCUGUCUGAAUAUGGGGGGACCAUCCUCCAAGGCUAAAUACUCCUGACUGACCGAUAGUGAACCAGUACCGUGAGGGAAAGGCGAAAAGAACCCCGGCGAGGGGAGUGAAAAAGAACCUGAAACCGUGUACGUACAAGCAGUGGGAGCACGCUUAGGCGUGUGACUGCGUACCUUUUGUAUAAUGGGUCAGCGACUUAUAUUCUGUAGCAAGGUUAACCGAAUAGGGGAGCCGAAGGGAAACCGAGUCUUAACUGGGCGUUAAGUUGCAGGGUAUAGACCCGAAACCCGGUGAUCUAGCCAUGGGCAGGUUGAAGGUUGGGUAACACUAACUGGAGGACCGAACCGACUAAUGUUGAAAAAUUAGCGGAUGACUUGUGGCUGGGGGUGAAAGGCCAAUCAAACCGGGAGAUAGCUGGUUCUCCCCGAAAGCUAUUUAGGUAGCGCCUCGUGAAUUCAUCUCCGGGGGUAGAGCACUGUUUCGGCAAGGGGGUCAUCCCGACUUACCAACCCGAUGCAAACUGCGAAUACCGGAGAAUGUUAUCACGGGAGACACACGGCGGGUGCUAACGUCCGUCGUGAAGAGGGAAACAACCCAGACCGCCAGCUAAGGUCCCAAAGUCAUGGUUAAGUGGGAAACGAUGUGGGAAGGCCCAGACAGCCAGGAUGUUGGCUUAGAAGCAGCCAUCAUUUAAAGAAAGCGUAAUAGCUCACUGGUCGAGUCGGCCUGCGCGGAAGAUGUAACGGGGCUAAACCAUGCAC